rnacentral:rRNA from 1 species
AGAGUUUGAUCCUGGCUCAGGAUGAACGCUAGCUACAGGCUUAACACAUGCAAGUCGAGGGGCAGCAUUUUAGUUUGCUUGCAAACUGAAGAUGGCGACCGGCGCACGGGUGAGUAACACGUAUCCAACCUGCCGAUAACUCCGGAAUAGCCUUUCGAAAGAAAGAUUAAUACCGGAUAGCAUACGAAUAUCGCAUGAUAUUUUUAUUAAAGAAUUUCGGUUAUCGAUGGGGAUGCGUUCCAUUAGUUUGUUGGCGGGGUAACGGCCCACCAAGACUACGAUGGAUAGGGGUUCUGAGAGGAAGGUCCCCCACAUUGGAACUGAGACACGGUCCAAACUCCUACGGGAGGCAGCAGUGAGGAAUAUUGGUCAAUGGGCGAGAGCCUGAACCAGCCAAGUAGCGUGAAGGAUGACUGCCCUAUGGGUUGUAAACUUCUUUUAUAUGGGAAUAAAGUGGUCCACGUGUGGAUUUUUGUAUGUACCAUAUGAAUAAGGAUCGGCUAACUCCGUGCCAGCAGCCGCGGUAAUACGGAGGAUCCGAGCGUUAUCCGGAUUUAUUGGGUUUAAAGGGAGCGUAGGCGGACGCUUAAGUCAGUUGUGAAAGUUUGCGGCUCAACCGUAAAAUUGCAGUUGAUACUGGGUGUCUUGAGUACAGUAGAGGCAGGCGGAAUUCGUGGUGUAGCGGUGAAAUGCUUAGAUAUCACGAAGAACUCCGAUUGCGAAGGCAGCUUACUGGAUUGUAACUGACGCUGAUGCUCGAAAGUGUGGGUAUCAAACAGGAUUAGAUACCCUGGUAGUCCACACAGUAAACGAUGAAUACUCGCUGUUUGCGAUAUACAGUAAGCGGCCAAGCGAAAGCGUUAAGUAUUCCACCUGGGGAGUACGCCGGCAACGGUGAAACUCAAAGGAAUUGACGGGGGCCCGCACAAGCGGAGGAACAUGUGGUUUAA